UACCUGUGCCACAAAUGGUGAUCGCGAUUAUUGGGUCUAAAGCGUCCGUAGCCGGUUUAGUAAGUUUCUGGUGAAAUCUGGCAGCUAACUGUCAGGCGUGCUGGAAAUACUACUAGACUUGGAAUCGGGAAAGGACUGAGGUAUUCCAUGAGUAGGGGUUAAAUCCUUUAAUCCAUGGAGGACCACCGGUUGCGAAAGCGUCAGUCUGGAACGAGUUCGACGGUGAGGGACGAAAGCGUGGGGAGCAAAUGGGAUUAGAUACCCCAGUAGUCCACGCUGUAAACUUUGUCCGUUUGGUGUCGCAAACCUUAAGGGGGUUUGCGGUGCCGGAGCGUAGGUGUUAAACGGACCACCUGGGGAGUACGGCCGCAAGGUUGAAACUUAAGGGAAUUGGCGGGGGAGCACACAAGGGGUGGAGGCUGCGGUUCAAUCGGAUUCAACGCCGAACAUCUCACGAGGGUUGACAGUAGAAUGAAGGUCACUCUGAUGGGGUUACCAGACACACUGAGAGGAGUUGCAUGGCCAUCGUCAGCUCGUACCUUGAGGCGUGCCGUCAAGUCGGUUAACGAGCAAGACCCAUGCCAUCAGUUGCUAUUGCAAUUUGUAAGUUGGAGAAAUCCAAAAUGCGAAAUGUAAGCACUCUGAUGGGACCGCCACUGCUAAAGUGGAGGAAGGGGUGGGCUACGGUAGGUCCGUAUGGCCCGAAUACCCUCGGCUACACGCGGCCUACAAUGGAUAGGACAAUGCGAUGCAACACCGAAAGGUGAAGCCAAUCGCCUAAACCUAUCCCCAGUUCGGAUUGAGGGCUGUAACUCGCCCUCACGAAGCCGGAAUCCCUAGUAAGCGAACGUCAUAAUCGUUCGCUGAAUACGUCCCUGCUCUU
rnacentral:rRNA from 1 species